UGGAUUGGAAGAUUAAAUAUCAUUAAAAUGUCAAUUCUACUCAAAUUGAUAUACAGAUUCAAUGCAAACCCGAUAAAAUUUCCACCAACAUUUUUUUAAAAAUUGAAAACAUGAUCAUCAAAUUUAUUUGGAAGGGUAAGGGGUCCUGAAUAGCCAGAAACAUCAUAAAAGGGAAAAGUGAACCCUUAUCUCCAGACUUUAAAUCAUAUUACCUAGCUAGAGUUGUAAAAAUAGCAUGGUACUGACAAAAAGCCAGACACAUAGACCAAUGGAACCAAAUUUAUGGUUCAGAAACAGACCCUCACAAGUAUGGUCAAGUGAUUUUUGACUAGCCUGUCAAACCCACAUAACUCAGGCAGUCCAUUCAACAAAUAGUACUGAGCAAAUUGGAUAUUCAUACCCACAAGAAAGAAAUAGGGUCCCUAUCUAACACCUUAUCCAAAAAUUAACUCAAAAUGGAUCAAAAACUGUUGGGAGCAGUCAAUACGAGUAUACACUGAGCUCAGCAAUGCUGGUAACAUGGCCGCCAGAGCAGAGCCCACUUCCUUGUUCUUCUUCCUCCCUGCUCCUUUGUUCUCCGUUUCCCACCACUACCCAGACUGAUAAGACAGUACGCAGGUGCAAGGCGCGAAACUGAAGUCUGCCUUCCACCCCAGCAACAGCAGCUACCAAUCCCUGAACCCUGCCACUUACCCCAGCAACAGCGAUAGCCAAUCCCUAGCCUCCACCUCCUCGCCUACUGCUCCUCCCCUUCCCAAGAGUAUAUAUGCUUUGUUCCCUCAAUAAAAUUUUGCAGCUUGAUCAGAACACUGUCUUGCUGUCAUUCUUUGUGUCUCUUGUCCCACCAUUCUUUCUCGGUAGGUUUUGAGCCCUCGUUACCAUCCUGCGGGCCGGGACAGACUGGCGCCCAACGUGGGGCUCGACGAUUCCCUGUAAUCGAGAAAAGAACACCGCUUCAUCCAAGGAGGGGAGCGCUCCCUGCAUAUCGGCCGACGAAAGGCCACAUCUCAGCGGUGGAAAGGAGGAUCUCAGCAUCAACCCGUGAAUUCUUCAGUCACUGGCGGUGGCCAAAUGGAAAUGGCACUUUUCAGCUGAGCCCUGAAUCUCAGAAGAAUUGCAACACCUAUUCUCCAGUUCAUUGGACUUACCCAGGCCAACUAGCGGGGAGAUGAUGAUGGACAGCGACCAUCGCAAGGAACUGAGAGAGUCUACAACUGCACGCAAGAGAGUCCCAUCCAUUGGCUUUAUGGGACCGAAGCCCCCUCUCAAUUAGAGGUGGAGUGGGCACCACCAUCCCAGAAUCCUCAGGAUUGGGGAGUGAAUGAUGGACCAGAGUAAACUUACUGUUAUUCUACUAUAGAUUUAUUGUGAUUCUAGCAAUGGAAGAAAUUAUAUCAUUGAUGUGAAGGCAGUGGCCACUGGAAGUUCUGAGGACAGGGAAAAGGAAAAACAGAUGAAAUAUUGGGGCAUUUUCAGGACUUGGGAAUUGUCCUGAAUGACAUUACAACGACAGAUACAGGCCAUUACAUAUCUUGCUAUAACCUACAAAAUCAUGUAGAUGAGAGUGUAAACUAUAAUGUAAACUAUAACCCAUGCUUAGUGGUAAUGCUCCAAAAUGUUUGCAUCAAUUGUAUCGAAUGUACCACACUAAUGAAGAAUGUUGCUAAUGUGGGAAAAUGUGGGAGGUGUAAGGAGCCGAGCAUAUGGGAAUACCCUAUAUUUGUAUGUAAUAUUUACGUAAUCUAAAUAUCUCUUUAAAAAUAAAAUAAAAAAUAACACAGAAGAGGUGGCAUUGGAAUGGGAAAAGUGGACAUAGUGGACGAAGGGUAUGGGGAAAGGCAGGAAGAGAUGAGAGGUGGAGGCGUCUUUGGGACAUGGAGCUGCCCUGGAUGGUACUUCAGAGGCAAUCACCGGACAUUGUAAAUCCUCACAGGGCCCACUGGAUGGAAUGGAGGAGAGUAUGGGCUAUGAUGUGAACCAAUGUAUAUGAGGUGCAGAGGUGCCCAAAGAUGUACUUACCAAAUCCAAUGGAUGUGUCAUGAUGAUGGGAACGAGUGUUGUUGGGGGGGGAGAGGGGGGGUGGGGGGAUGGGGUUGAAUGGGACCUCACAUAUAUAUUUUUAAUGUAAUAUUAUUACAAAGUCAAUAAAAAAAAAUCUGAAAA
rnacentral:lncRNA from 1 species